AUGUAAGUAAUAAAAAGCUUAAAAAGACACCCGAGACCCAUGGGGGCCCAGUGUGCAAUGGCUGCAAACAGCAGCCUCCUUGGUAGUGUAUGCAACCUGUUGCCUGUACAGGUAGCCCUAAGGGACCUUGGAGACAACU